AUCUGUGGUCAUACCACCCUGAACAUGCCCAAUCUCAUCUGAUCUCAGAAGCUAAGCAGGAUCAGGUUUGGUUAGUACUUGUGUACAUACGUACGUAAAUGGAAAAUAAUACCCAUUGAAA
rnacentral:rRNA from 1 species